CGACGUAGUUGAUCAGUGGCUCAGGACGACGCUGGCGGCGUGCCUAACACAUGCAAGUCGAACGGGGUGUCGGAAGCUUGCUUCUGACACUUAGUGGCGAACGGGUGAGUAACGCGUGAGAAACCUGCCUCUCAGUGGGGGGACAACAGUUGGAAACGACUGCUAAUACCGCAUAACAUACACGGACCGCAUGAUCUGUGUAUCAAAGCUUAAUGUGCUGAGAGAUGGUCUCGCGUCUGAUUAGCUAGAUGGCGGGGUAACGGCCCACCAUGGCGACGAUCAGUAGCCGGUCUGAGAGGAUGAACGGCCACAUUGGGACUGAGAUACGGCCCAGACUCCUACGGGGAGGCAGCAGGUGGGGAAUAUUGGGCAAUGGGGGAAACCCUGACCCAGCAACGCCGCGUGAAGGAAGAAGGCCUUCGGGUUGUAAACUUCUUUUAGCAGGGACGAAGAACGUGACGGUACCUGCAGAAAAAGCAACGGCUAACUACGUG
rnacentral:rRNA from 1 species